GGGUUUUGACUGUGUACUUGAUUGUAGAUAGUCUAAUUGGUUGUUGAAAGUGUUGAUUCGAUUUAGCCUUGUCGACGACACGAAUAGUAUUCAGAGUACUGGGCAACAGGCUCUCACGACGACCACGAUGAACAAAUGACUAAGAAAGGUUGAUGAUGAGACUCAUGUAGUUACACAGCCGUUGGCAGCUUCAAAUUCCAUUGCUCCAUCAAUAUCAAAUGUUGUAGUGAACUACCCAGGUAUUGCAGUAUGAUUCCAACCACCGAUGCCACCCCCAUCAACGUGUCAUAGCAUGUUGGAUGUAUAGCGCCGCUCAGUCCACGAUUGCUAGAGAAAUGCACACAAAAGAUAUCAGAUUUGGACCAGCAGCAAUACACAGG